rnacentral:lncRNA from 1 species
AUUUAUUGGGGAUUUUCUGACUGAGUGGUGACCUGAGUCCUGUGUUUUGCUGUUACACUGUGAAGAUCUGUCUUUACCAUGACAGUUACCCAUGUGGGGUGUGCAGGUAGCUGUAAUGAAUUCCAUUGUGCAGUCUUCACCCUCAGUGAUAAUUUCCUCUGCAGGGGACCCCAGAGGAAGAACUUGGUAACCAGAGGACACAAACCAUCUCAAAGCUGCCCGCCCGUGAUGACCCAGUGUCUGUCAGUGCCUUGGAGAUGACCAAAUCCACCACCUAACUAGUUCACAGGGAGGGGUGUUGGGAAAGGUUGUUGUUGGCUGACAGAACCUGAGGGAGACUCAGCUACCAGCUGGAUCCAGGGGAGACCUCUCUGUGAACACCUCCAUCCACAGGGCACAGGGUUCUAUCUUCUGCUCUUGGCUCCUUAACAAACCUCAACCAAUGGCAACCAACAGCCCACCCUGCCUCUCGGGGCCCUAACAUUUAUAGGCCCUCUGAAAAGUCCUUAGAGUUUCAAACGUCACACAAUUGCAGAAACGGCACACUAUCUGCAUAAGGCAAAAUCACAGCCCUGCGAGCACACAAUGGAAGUACAGUCAGCAGCUGUGGACAAGCAGCCUGUAUCCCACACCUGGGUAAUGCUGAAACCCAGCCCCAUAAAAUUUCCGUGUUUUUCAACAAAACCAAAAUUCUCACUACAGCUCCCCUUUCGUGGCAGACGUCUCAGAGAAGCUUUACCUUCUAGGAACCCCAUGCACAGUGAAGAGAGGCCAAGCUGGCCCUAGUUCCUGCCAGAGGGGAGCUGGACUCUGGGAAAGUUCACCUAGUCCUCCGGUCCUGACAACAGUCAGACCAUUUCUCAGCAGAGGCUGGAGCCAAACAAAGGUAA